AUCAUAUUUAUUCCUCAGAAUCAACUACUACGCAAGACCCCACGAAGAUAUCUACUACGGAACCCACCACCUCACAUCCUUCCAAAACAACUCGACAUACCACAACGAUGUCUACGACGGAACCCACCACCUCAUACCCUGCCACAACGACUCAAUCAACUACUACACAAGAUACAACAACGAUGUCUACGACGGAACCCACCAACUCAUACCCUGCC
rnacentral:lncRNA from 1 species